GCGGAGGAAAAGAAAAUAACAAUGAUUCCCUUAGUAACGGCGAGUGAACAGGGAGAAGCUCACAGUUGGAACCUGACUGACUUAGUCAGUCCGGAUUGUAAACUGAAAAAGUGUUUUCCAGGCUAGCCGAGUAAAAAAGUUCCUUGGAAUAGGACAUCAUGGAGGGUGAGAAUCCCGUCUUUGGCUUGAGCAUAGUCUUUUGUGUUGCACUUUAAAGAGUCAGGUUGUUUGGGAAUGCAGCCUAAAGUGGGAGGUAAAUCCCUCCUAAAGCUAAAUAUUGGCGGAAGACCGAUAGCAAACAAGUACCGUGAGGGAAAGAUGAAAAGAACUUUGAAAAGAGAGUUAAACAGUAUGUGAAAUUGCUAAAAGGGAAGCGUUUGGAGACAGACUGGUUGGUCUGAAAUCAGCCUUGACUUUGGUCUUGGUGUACUUUUGGGCUAUUUUGCCUGCCAACAGCAGUUUGGUCUUUGUGAAAAAACUGGUAGUAAGGUGGCUCCUCCGGGAGUGUUAUAGACUACUAGAAAAUAACAAGGACUAGACUGAGGAACGCAAUACAGCUUGUCUUAUGAUCAUGUAGGGUGAAUUUGGACCUUUGUCCGAUGAAGUCUUAUAAGGGUUGUAUGAACUGUGUUUAGGUUGUUGGCUUAAUGUCUCUAAACGGC
rnacentral:rRNA from 1 species